GGCGACAUCGUCUAGUGGUUAGGACGUUCGGUUUUGAAAUCCGAACGACCUGGGUUCGAACCCCAGUGACGCCU
rnacentral:tRNA from 1 species